CAUUGCUGACCUUCAAGAAACUUUCAACACUCUCCACCAAUUUUGGAUGAGGCUGAACCUAGUAAAGUGCACCUUUGGAGUUACAUCAGGCAAGUUUCCUGAAUUUAUGGUCACGUGAAGAAGCAUUGAGAUAAAUCUCGAGAAGAUUAAGACAGUCUUUGAGAUGACACCAUCAAGAACUAUCAAAGAAGUACAGCGUCUAACCGGCA
rnacentral:lncRNA from 1 species